rnacentral:rRNA from 1 species
UACGUAGGGUGCAAGCGUUGUCCGGAAUUAUUGGGCGUAAAGAGCUCGUAGGCGGCUUGUCGCGUCGGCUGUGAAAACCUGGGGCUCAACUCCGGGCCUGCAGUCGAUACGGGCAAACUGGAGUGUUGCAGGGGAGACUGGAAUUCCUGGUGUAGCGGUGAAAUGCGCAGAUAUCAGGAGGAACACCGGUGGCGAAGGCGGGUCUCUGGGCAACAACUGACGCUGAGGAGCGAAAGCGUGGGGAGCAAACAGG